rnacentral:rRNA from 1 species
UACGUAGGGUGCGAGCGUUAAUCGGAAUUACUGGGCGUAAAGCGCGUGUAGGCUGCUUCAUAAGUCGGGUGUGAAAGCCCUGGGCUCAACCCAGGAAGUGCACUCGAAACUGUCAGGCUUGAAUAUGGAAGAGGGUCGCGGAAUUCCCGGUGUAGAGGUGAAAUUCGUAGAUAUCGGGAGGAACACCAGUGGCGAAGGCGGCGACCUGGGCCAAUAUUGACGCUGAGGUGCGAAAGCGUGGGGAGCAAACAGGG